rnacentral:rRNA from 1 species
CCACCCUUUAAUGUUUGAUGUUCUAACGUGGACCCGUAAUCCGGGUUGCGGACAGUGUCUGGUGGGUAGUUUGACUGGGGCGGUCUCCUCCUAAAGAGUAACGGAGGAGCACGAAGGUUGGCUAAUCCUGGUCGGACAUCAGGAGGUUAGUGCAAUGGCAUAAGCCAGCUUGACUGCGAGCGUGACGGCGCGAGCAGGUGCGAAAGCAGGUCAUAGUGAUCCGGUGGUUCUGAAUGGAAGGGCCAUCGCUCAACGGAUAAAAGGUACUCCGGGGAUAACAGGCUGAUACCGCCCAAGAGUUCAUAUCGACGGCGGUGUUUGGCACCUCGAUGUCGGCUCAUCACAUCCUGGGGCUGAAGUAGGUCCCAAGGGUAUGGCUGUUCGCCAUUUAAAGUGGUACGCGAGCUGGGUUUAGAACGUCGUGAGACAGUUCGGUCCCUAUCUGCCGUGGGCGCUGGAGAAUUGAGGGGGGCUGCUCCUAGUACGAGAGGACCGGAGUGGACGCAUCACUGGUGUUCGGGUUGUCAUGCCAAUGGCACUGCCCGGUAGCUAAAUGCGGAAGAGAUAAGUGCUGAAAGCAUCUAAGCACGAAACUUGCCCCGAGAUGAGUUCUCCCUGACUCCUUGAGAGUCCUGAAGGAACGUUGAAGACGACGACGUUGAUAGGCCGGGUGUGUAAGCGCAGCGAUGCGUUGAGCUAACCGGUACUAAUGAACCGUGAGGCUUAACCUU